CAAAGAUUAAGCCAUGCAUGUGACUACGGGCAGAUC
rnacentral:rRNA from 1 species